rnacentral:lncRNA from 1 species
UUCGAUUGUAAAUCGUAAAAUUCGUUUUAUAUAGGUGAUAAACCCUCUGUUUGAGCAUUAAGAUCCUCGUUUAUUAUUUAAAAUUUCCGUUCAUAUUAUCUUCUUGGAAUAAUCCAAAUCCUUCAAAAACUCUUUCAUUCUUUGAUCGCUAUUUGAGGUUCGUCGAAAUUAUUGUUCUAAAUCCAUUUGUGCCCCAUCCCGACCUAGUUGCAUAUAAUUAUAUUAUCUUUGUAUGUUCAUUUUAGUUAGCUUAUAGAGAAUCGCGUGUCUCUAUUUUUAGGUCCCGACGAUUGAAUUUCUGCACAUUUUCGACUGGAUAGUUUUUAUCUUUGAAGCUACGUUAAGGUAAGCGACCGAACACCCGUUAGUUUUUGUAAGAUAAUUUAGGAAAAUAUUUUGAUUGUACGAAAAUCUUAUUUUGUAGAAUUUAAAAUUAAAGGUUAAGCAUAUUAUUAAAUAUCUCUGUAUAUUGAGUUUCAAUCGUGAUUGACAAGUUCGUUUAGCAAAAAAAGAAUUUUUGAAAUCUGAUAAUUUAUUCUGCAAAUUAGUGACUGGAUAUAUUUUGAUUUAUGAUGUCUCUUGGUAUUCUGCUAUGCAAUGUUGGCCAUGUCGACAUGUACUUUGUUAUAGAAGCAAGCUUCAUCUUUGUUUGCGCCUUCGGGUGCCUGCGCCUAUCCGCGCCUCUGUUUUGUUUGCGCCUUCGGGUGCCUGCGCCUAUCCGCGCCUCUGUUUUGUUUGCGCCUUCGGGUGCCUCUGUUUUGUUUACGCCUUCGGGUGUCUUUGGAUCUCGCCAACGGAUCAUAAGAUAUAGUUAAGUGCCGGAGACAAUAAUUAUUUUGUUUAUAUGUCGAAAGGGAAAUGCUUUGAAAAAAAUUAUAGUUUCAAUCCGAUCUGAAUUUAAAGUUUUGAUAAAUUCUUGUUUUCUUAAAUUUUGCAAAUUAAAACCAGUCGCUUGAAUUAAUUUGUGUAUCUAAUUAUUUGUAUGCUUAAUCCGACUAAUGUGGUGUAUGGUUGCUUAUCCAGAAAAAUUGCAACGACCCGACCCGCUAGCAAUAAUAACUCGUUGGGCCAAACCACCGGCCCAAAAUGCUUAAGCCCAGUUAUUAUUACUAGUGUCCAAGUCUCUUAUAACCCAAUGACAACCCCAUUCCCAUCCGAUGUGGGACUAUUGGGGUGUCACAGACUCCCCCCGUUAAGGCCCUGACGUCCUCGUCAGUCCAAUCACACACAGCCCAAGAUCACCAGGCGAUGUGAGACUCGUCUCGCUAGCCCGUCAUCCAGACCCUGGCUCAGCCGAGACUCGCCACACAUGUCCAGCUGGUGAACCUGUCUCUGAUACCAAUUGUAACGACCCGACCCGCUAGCAACAAUAACUCGUUGGGCCCAAACCACCGGCCCAAAAUGCUUAAGCCCAGUUAUUAUUACUAGCGUGUAGGUCUCAUAUAAACUGAUCGGAAUCAGUAUCCCAUCCGAUGUGGGACUAUUGGGGGCG